rnacentral:rRNA from 1 species
AGUGAACGCUGGCGGUAGGCCUAACACAUGCAAGUCGAACGGCAACACAGUAAGAGCUUGCCCUUACGGGUGGCGGGUGGCGGACGGGUUAGGAAUACAUCGCACUCUUCUUUUUUGUGGGUGAUAACGUAGGGCAAAUUACGCUAAUACCGCAUACGACCUACGGGUUAAAGCAGUGGUUCUUCGGACCUUGCGUGAUUGAAUGAGCCGAUGUCGGAUUAGCUAGUUGGCGGGGUAAAGGCCCACCAAGGCGACGAUCCGUAGCUGGUCUGAGAGGAUGAUCAGCCACACUGGAACUGAGACACGGUCCAGACUCCUACGGGAGGCAGCAGUGGGGAAUAUUCGGCAAUGGGCGCAAGCCUGAUCCAGCCAUACCGCGUGAGUGAAGAAGGCCUUCGGGUUGUAAAGCCCUUUUGUUGGGAAAGAAAAGCAGCAUGUUAAUACCCCGCUGUUCUGACGGUACCCAAAGAAUAAGCACCGGCUAACUUCGUG